AUGACUCCGCGGAGGAGCGGUGGCUCAUCGCCGAGGGCGACGUGUCCCCUGGCGAGGGCAGGACGCCCGAGGCCUGGCAGCCGAGCCCGAGCGCCCUGGCGCCUCGGUGAACCCCGCAGCCUCGUCGCCACCGCCCCAGCAGCCACCGCAGCCGGCCUCCGCCUCCUGCGAGCAGCCCUCAGCAGACACCGCUAUCAAAGCGGAGGGAGGCGCUGCCGCCGGCCACCAAAUCCUCCCGGAGGCAGAGGUGCGCCUGGCCAGGCCAGUUUCAUGCAGUCCCUCUUUAGGACCAUGCUCCAACCCUGGGUCAACAAAUUCUCCCUAAGGAUGUUGGCAGCCAGAAAGCCAUGGAGCACUAGCAGGAGAGGGUCAAGUCGGCGGGAUUUUGGAUCAUCCUCCCCUACAGCGAUUUCAGCAGAUCUUCCACAUGACAUACAACCUGGCCAGCACCGUGGUACACAUCAUGAAACUCAUUGGCAUGAUUCUCCCACUGUGCCACUAGGAUGGCUGCCUGCAGGUCCUGGUGCCCUUGCUGCAGGACUUCCUGAUGACUGCUGGUGUUCAUCAACAAGGUGUGCAGGACGAUCGCUUGAGCCCAGGAGUUGGAAUCCAGCCUGAGCAACAUAGGAUGUGUGCCUGCUACACAGGAGGAUCCCUUGAGCUCACUUGCACUUCAGCCUGGGUGACAGAGCAAGAUCCUGUGUCAAAAUGAAGUGUCAAAAUGAAUAAAUAAAUAAAAAUUAAAAAAACA
rnacentral:lncRNA from 13 species